CCUACGGGAGGCAGCAGUCGAGAAUCAUUCACAAUGGGGGAAACCCUGAUGGUGCGACGCCGCGUGGGGGAAUGAAGGUCUUCGGAUUGUAAACCCCUGUCAUGUGGGAGCAAAUUAAAAAGAUAGUACCACAAGAGGAAUAGACGGCUAACUCUGUGCCAGCAGCUGCGGUAAUACAGAGGUCUCAAGCGUUGUUCGGAAUCACUGGGCGUAAAGCGUGCGUAGGCUGUUUCGUAAGUCGUGUGUGAAAGGCGGGGGCUCAACCCGCGGACGGCACAUGGUACUGCGCGACGCGAGUAAUGGAGGGGGAACCGGAAUGCUCGGUGUAGCAGUGAAAUGCGUAGAUAGCGAGAGGAACACUCGUGGCGAAGGCGGGUUCCUGGACAUUAACUGACGCUGAGGCACGAAGGCCAGGGGAGCGAAAGGGAUUAGAUACCCCAGUAGUC
rnacentral:rRNA from 1 species